rnacentral:lncRNA from 1 species
AAAGUGAUUCCUUCCACAGCUGUGUGAGGGUGAAGGUCUGAAUUGAGGUGGCCUACCCUUGGCACUGUUGACAUCUGGGGCCACAUCAUCCUCUGUGGUGGGGCUGUCCUGCGUACUAGAGGAUGUAGCACCUCUCCCCACUGCUUACAGGAUGUCAGUAGCACCACCUCCCCCGUAUAUUUCUCUGUAUAUAUAUCUACCCAUUCCUCUAUCUCUAUCUAUCCCUCUCUAUAUCUAUCUGUGCCUCUGUUUUUCUCUAUAUAG